AGUGGCCGUCCGCGCAACGCCUGCCGGGAAGCCCGGUUCCUCCGUUUGAGCUGCCUGCGGGUGUCGCAGAGCCGUGGGGCGUUGUGGUUGGGUUGGUUUUGAAACAGGAGGCCUGGAGGGAAGUGUAUCUGCCUAUAUUGAGACAUCCUUUUUUUUAAGCGGCAAUCACAAGGAAUUUCCCAAUUAAGCUUGCAGUGAAUGAUGGAGGGACUCUGCUCCUGAUGAUUUGGAAUAAAGCUGCCUGUGGGUCAGGAAGCCAGCUGCACUUUGAACUUCAUCGAUUACUGCUUUCCUUUAUCCCAAACACUAGCCAGUGGCAGAUCCUGCAGCAGCCUGCACUUAUUUCCUCAGUUGGACCUGAAGGGGAGCCCGACCAGGGAGAUCAGAUUAUCUAAAGAGCAGAGGAGUAUGGCACAGCAGGGGGCCAGUACCCAGAGAGGAGGACUUCAGAUUCAAGGCCCCUGCAUACUUGGAGAUCUCUUGUAUAUUUAAAACGUUAUGAGUGAACUUUCCUCAACAUGAUAAAGGGCAUUCAUGAAAAGCCUACAGCUAACAUCAUACUCAAUGGGGAAAUAGUGAAAGCUUUCCCUUGAAGAGGAGGAACAAGACAAGGCUGCCUACUUUCAGUAUGGCUAUUCAAAAUUUUAAUGGAAAUGCUAGCCAAAACAAAUAAG